AAGGUUUUAAGUUAAUUAAACUAGUAGUCUUCAAAAUUAUCAAUAAAGAAUUAUCUUUAAGCCUUA
rnacentral:tRNA from 1 species